rnacentral:rRNA from 1 species
AAUAGAUACCCAGGUAGUCCACGCCGUAAACGGUGGGCACUAGGUGUGGGCAACAUUCCACGUUGUCCGUGCCGCAGCUAACGCAUUAAGUGCCCCGCCUGGGGAGUACGGCCGCAAGGCUAAAAACUCAAAGGAAUUGACGGGGGCCCGCACAAGCGGUGGAGCAUGUGGCUUAAUUCGAGGCAACGCGAAGAACCUUAUCCUGGGCUUGACAUGCACGGAUUAACGCCUGGAAACAGGCGCCACGCUCUUUGAGUGGAACGUGCACAGGUGCUGCAUGGCUGUCGUCAGCUCGUGCUGUGAAGUGUCGGGUUAAGUCCCUUAACGAGCGAAACCCCUGUCGUUAGUUGCUAACGGGUAAUGCCGAGGACUCUAACGAGACUGCCGGUGUCAAACCGGAGGAAGGUGGGGACGACGUCAAGUCCUCAUGGCCUUUAUGCCCAGGGCUGCACACGUGCUACAAUGGCGCGUACAGAGCGAAGCAAUACCGUAAGGUGGAGCAAAUCGCAAAAACGCGCCCCAGUUCGGA